CACCGCGGUUAUACGAGAGGCCCCAGUUGAUGAGCACGGCGUAAAGGGUGGUUAAGGUUUAAUUUAAAUAAAGCCAAAAGACUUCUUGGCCGUCAUACGCCCCUGAACGUCUGAAGCCCAGAUACGAAGGUAGCUUUAAUCUUCGCCCACCUGACCCCACGAAAACUGAGAAA
rnacentral:rRNA from 1 species